CCGCCUGCCUCAGCCUCCCAAAGUGCUGGGAUUACAUGCGUGAGCCACCGUGCCUGGCCAUAACCUGACCUUUUUAAAGGGUUGCUUUCAUCACAUCCCAUUAUUCAUUACGAUCUCCAGAAUUUCUCGUAUGAGAGAGAGGAGCUAAGUGUUAAAAAGUUUGCAUUUGGUGUUAAAACAAGCAUCUUGUUUAUAUUCAGAAUGGGAAGCCGCUGUCAAAUCUAGCUGAACAUUUUUUCAUUUAGAUUUGAUGGAUGCUUCCUGAGGUCCUACUGUGUACCAGCUGUGGCCGUGUUAGCUACCAGGAAUACGAAGAUGAAUAAGGAGGUCACAAGUGAAAACAGAAACACCAAGAUAAACUUGGCCCAGGUUCUCUUGGGAAUUCUCAGGAUCCUACCUGGUGCAGCAAAUCACACCAGGGAGAUGUUACUGGAUCUUUGAUGAGUGGAGCAUCCACAGAGGAAGGAAGUGGCCCAGACCUGGCCCUCUGGAGAGCAUUUUGGACUCCUGGGUGGGCAGGGCACCUCAGGCAGCAGGCGGCACACCUUGGAUUUGAGCUGAAUGGAUUUUGAAAUUUCAGAGGAGGAGCCUCCAUGCAGGAGAAAGUAUCGUUGCAACAGGAGGGAGCUCUCCCCGCUGGCCAGGCAGCAGCAGGAGUGUCUCUGCAGGUAGCCAAGGUGACGCUGGCAGCCAGGGAGGCAGCAGUUGGGACAGCUCUGGCAAGAACAUCUCACUGGCUGCCCCGGGAGAGGGCCUGGGCCCUGGGCCAGGACAUGGAUAGGCCUGGAUCAUUCUGCUGAUUGAGCCAAACAGCAUUAAAAAUAAUUGCAGAAUGGAAACGACUUUGGUGCAUUUUUUCUGGCAAUAAAAAAAAUACAGAUAUAUCAGGGGAAAAAAUGCUGAAAAUGUCUAAGAAGAAAAUUAAAUUUCCCUAUUAAUUUUCCCGUCACAUGUUUAUAUAAUA